rnacentral:rRNA from 1 species
UACGAAGGGGGCUAGCGUUGUUCGGAAUUACUGGGCGUAAAGCGCACGUAGGCGGAUAUUUAAGUCAGGGGUGAAAUCCCGGGGCUCAACCCCGGAACUGCCUUUGAUACUGGAGAGCUUGAGUCCGGAAGAGGUGAGUGGAACUCCGAGUGUAGAGGUGAAAUUCGUAGAUAUUCGGAAGAACACCAGUGGCGAAGGCGGCUCACUGGCCCGAUACUGACGCUGAGGCACGAAAGCGUGGGGAGCAAACAGG